rnacentral:rRNA from 1 species
GACAGAGGGUGCAAACGUUGUUCGGAAUUACUGGGCGUAAAGCGCGUGUAGGCUGCUCGGAAAGUCGGAUGUGAAAGCCCUGGGCUCAACCUAGGAAGUGCAUUCGAAACUUCCGAGCUGGAGUUCCGGAGAGGAAGGCGGAAUUCUCGGUGUAGAGGUGAAAUUCGUAGAUAUCGAGAGGAACACCGGUGGCGAAGGCGGCCUUCUGGACGGAAACUGACGCUGAGACGCGAAAGCGUGGGGAGCAAACAGG